rnacentral:lncRNA from 1 species
CGAAGACGACGGUUUCUUCAUACUUGCACGUGUAAUUUUAUGGAAAAAUUUUAAACAGCAGUUUGGUCUGAACAAAAGAGGGAUUUGCGAAAUGAUUCACAGAUUUCAACUAAUCAAGUAAUGAAAUUUCUACUCAGUUCGAUACGGGAUCGAUUAAAUCAAGUGAUCCAACAGCCUAAGUGAUCUGAUUAAUUUGCUAUGAUGAUCCAUAAUUUCAACUACCUUCCCGCCACAGGAACGGCUUUAAAAUUACCCACGAUUCAAUGGGUGAUGAUACAUGCAUCAGCCGCGGGUUUACGCAACCUAGCCAAUAAGCACGGCGUAUGCACACCGAGCUUAAUAUACACAAAUAUUGAUGGUCUCGGUCUCGGCUGCCUCACUCCACGACCUGUUCAGUGUUUAUUGACAUCGCCGGCCGGUACUGAUAGUUUCAACAUGAGGCAGCCUCUGCCCGUUAUCUUAACGCUCUUUGCCCUCCAUCAGUAUGAGGCUGCCGUCCCUGUCGCAGGAGACUAUGCUCGAGUGCGCCACAGCAAAACGUUCGUCGACAAGACCAACUUCAUCGGACUGUUCCUUGAUAUGCCUCAUUCUACAAUCCACAUAUCAGUGCCUCCUAAAUUCGGAAAGUCAGUGAACCUGGACAUGUUGAGACUUUACUUGGAAUGUGAAGAAUCAACCCCCAAGUACCAGUUUACCGAUCCGCUCUUCCGCGGCACGACAUUCCGUAGAAAUCCACACUUUUGGGAUCACUAUCGUAAGUAUGUAGUCAUCCACGUGGACUUCAGUCCCUUCAAAAUAGUCGAGGACGUCGAAACUUUCAAUAGAAGUCUUGCUGAGGUGGUCUGCCAAAUGCACGAGAAAUACAGCAGUCAUUUAAAUUUCUCCUCUUACAGUGACGGCAAGAAGACUCCCGCUCAAGCAUUUUGGACAACUAUAAUGAAUAUGGGUUAUCGAUCCUUGACGCAGGGAGACAUUUCAUCACGGAUAUUUCUUGGCUUUUCGGCGAAUACGUUAUCGUGCUGAUCGACAACGUUG